rnacentral:miRNA from 1 species
UCUGCACUGUGAGUUGGCUGGCU